AACACUUUCAAAUUUCAAAGAAGGAAAACAGUUUUCAAUUUCAAAGAAGGAAAACAGUUUCCAAUUUCAAAGAGAGAUUUACCUAUUGACUCCUUGCACGCACGCCACACGUGGCACACAACGCUCACCAUUUUGGUGUUCAGUACGUUUACGUAUAAACGCUGCAUCGCCUAAAAUGUGCACUUCACUGUAUAACGCAGUUACAUUGCCCACCAGUAUGGCGGUUCCAAGAUUAUUCUGAUGAUGACGUCGGGUGAAUUGGGUCAAUACGUUGAGUGCCAAAUUUUGGCGGUACAAUUGCCUAGUUCCCAAUGAUAAAACUCUAGUUAAGAGAGCGCAAUCCAACCUCCAGAGACAUACACAGGUUCCAGGUAAAGUAACCCAUUUUGGGCUAAAGUACCCAAUUCUGGGUGUGGUAUCCCGGUCUGGAUAAAGCCCUGUGUAAAGGGAAAUAGCCCUGUACAUGUAACCCAUUUCUGAGUUUAGGAACCAAGUUUUGGCUAGAGUAGUUGGGGUAAAAUAGACAUUUCUUCACAGUUUCUGGGCCCACCUAGUCUUGAAGUCAAGACAGUAAUUGUUAAGCGCGGUGUGUAGUUACAGCGCGGUGUGUAGUUACAGCGCGGUAUA